AUGUGGGUAUGGUUCUCUCUGAAUUUAUGUUUUCUUUUGUUUUUAGGAUUUUGUCAGCUAUGUCAUGUAAAGCCCUGUCUUAAUCUCACUUUGGGGGCUCUUUUACCUCCUGUUCUGGACUGCAGAGCAGAGACUCACCUCAUUCUGUGCAAUGAAUUGACUUUUGACAAUCUUUGCAAACAAUGGUUGGAAGAAGCAUAUUGGAGGGUCUUUCAUAUCCUAUAAUAUGGUGUUCAGACCCUGUGGGUUAAAGGGUAGUUACUUGCUAUGUUACAAACAUCUUCCCUAUGAGAAGGGCUUAUAUAUAUAUACAUAUACAUAUAUAUAUAUAUAUAUAUAUAUAUAUAUAAGGUUUUAUAUAUAUUUGUUUUGGAAGCCCCAUAAACACAGAAGAGAAGCAUUUAUGGUUACAAACAAAGGAAUGCCAGAAGCCAUUAGAUAUGAGGAAAUACAAAAAAAUAAAAUGUUCUCUUAGAGCUUUUAGAGGUAAAAAGUUUAUUUCUGUUUUGUGUAAGAAAACUAAAUUUCUCUUUGGCCUGACAAUAUUUUGAUGUUUUAAACUUGCUUGCAAUUUCUCCCUGUGUUUUGGAUUCACUUAUGCCUGGCUAUCCCUUACCAGAUAACCACCCUCUCUAAAACCUUCCUGGUGCCUCAUAAAUUCUGGCUCCCGCUGACCAAAUUACAUUUCUCUCUAAACCUCAGUGGCAGCUCAUAAAUUCUAAGGUCUGGAGCUGAAUUUAUUUUCUACGUUGAAAUGUUAGCCAUGUGGAUCCUUAACCUGCUAUUUGCCUUUGUACUAUGAUUGUCAAAAUCUUGUUAGCUGUAAGUACCUUAGACACCCACCUCCUUUGUAACUUUUUGUGCUGUAAAAACUUUUUCCUGAAGAUCAGGGGGAUGAUCUCUAGCAUGGAAUCUUGUAAGAGACCAUCCUGGCCAGCUUUUGUGUACACAAUACAAUAUUGAUUUAAUUUGAUUUGAAAUUUGAGUUGGUGGUCUUUUCUUUGUGUUUUGGUUUAACAUUAACUUUUUUUUAACUUCACUAUAAAUAAAACCAAAGAACACAACAAAAUUCCUGUAAAUGAGCCAGGUGCAUAAAAAUAGUCAUUCUUUAUUGCAAGCACAGAAUUCAUUAUAAAAAUGAUAUAAGCUUAAAAAUUAAAAGAUAUCUCAAAUAUCAAGGGAGUUUAGGAGUUAAAUUUUUUUCUUUCAGAAUAUAGGUAGCAAAAUAGGAGAAAAGAGAAAAUGUGAAGCAUAAAUAUAUUAAGUUAUAUGCAAAAAAAUCACCAAAAUAUUUAUUACAAAAAAAAUCAUAUCUACAGAAAUGGUUCAAGAGAAGCAGUCUUUUUGUCAGAAAUAAACAUUUGGACAGGAAUGGAAGUUUUGGUUCUCUUUUUAAGUAGUUUUACUCCUAGUGAAUAAUCUUUACACUAUUUCUGCAUUUUUCUGGUU
rnacentral:lncRNA from 1 species